AUUGAACGCUGGCGGCAGGCCUAACACAUGCAAGUCGAACGAGUGGCGGACGGGUGAGUAAUGUCUGGGAAACUGUCUGAUGGCGGGGGAUAACUACUGGAAACGGUAGCUAAUACCGCAUACCAUCGGAUGUGCCCAGAUGGGAUUAGCUUGUUGGUGGGGUAACGGCUCACCAAGGAGACGAUCCCUAGCUGGUCUGAGAGGAUGACCAGCAAAACUGGAACUGAGACACGGUCCAGACUCCUACGUGAGGCAGCAGAGGGGAAUAGUGCACAAUGGGAGCAAGCCUGAUGCAGCCAUGCCGCGUGUAUGAAGAAGGCCUUCGGGUUGUAAAGUACUUUCAGCGGGGAGGCGUUACCCGCAGAAGAAGCACCGGCUAACUCCGUGCCAGCAGCCGCGGUAAUAC
rnacentral:rRNA from 1 species